UACGGUUAACUAGUAAAACAAGUUAUUGAUAAUGAUAUUUAUCAAAUCAUUUUCAAAAACAAUGUUUUCAUAUUAUAUUUUAAUUUAAAAAUUAAAUUUAAAAUAUAAUUUAGAACCUAUUAAUUAAUAAAAAUUGCUUAAUCGCCCUAUAAUUCAAUGGUGCCUCCUAAAAGUUAAAAUUUUAAUUAAAGCAGUCCUUUUUUGGCGGUUAGAUCGUACAACUGCAAACUCUAUUCACACCCUGUGGCUAUACACUAUAUACCCUAAAUAAUCCAACUUUCAUUUAAAUUUAGAUUUUAUUGACCAUGAAACAAUUCACGAACUACCUGUUGAAACGUUUAUCACUUAAGAAAAGUGCAGUUAUUACAACAACAAUCGAACUUUACGAGUAUCAUCAUCUGAGCAUACCGUGGUUAUUAAAUAAUAACGAUCGAGCCAAGACAUCUGAAUGAUCGCAGCUGCAGCAGUGUGUCGACUAAUGAAAAAGUCGAUUUUCGCCUACGAAGUCUACAGUAUAAUACGAUAUAUAUUAUUGCUGCGUGCGGAUGACCGAGCGGUUUAACGACGACGACUAGCUAGAUGUACGACGAUGACCAUUGACGAGCCUGAGCCGGAGUUUGUUUAUUUUUUGUUGACGAGUGAAAAUUAUUAAAAGUCACAAUACUAUAACAAUACCUACAGUGGCCGAACUCUACAGGUACUGCACGCGUAUAUAAUAUACGAAAGGCUGGCAUUUUAUCGGGAGAGUGCAACGACGGACCCGCCGGAGAAGACGGUUAUAUUAUUAUUGCGAUUCGCGAACAGUCGGAGCAGUACAGGAUGAUAGUCUUUACGCGGAUGGCAGCGAACUAACCUAAGCUGCUUUCUUCCUCGUUUGGUUCGCGACGUUCCACGCCGAAGCGGUAUUAUAUGUAUAUAUUUGACGAGGACUUGAAAAAUCAGUUGAGAAAAUAGAUAUUCA